GCGGAGGCUCUUCGACCAGCUCUAGAACGCAUCCUGGUUGAGUGGAGUCAAUUGGAGACAGAUUUGAGCGAAGUCUCCCUCUACACCACCAGGCUGCGCUGUGUCCUGCAGCAGCUGCUGCACACACCUGCAUUCUCACCCAAGCAAGUCCAGAAGCAGUUGGAGGAGCUUAAGGUGAACCAAAUAUAUGGUAUACCAGUUGGGCUUGUUCAUCAGAAUGCAUCAUGUUGGCGAUACUCAUUUUGAGAGGAUUCAAUAGAGUUGAUGUACUUUUAAAUCCUAAAUAAACAUAAAUAUUCAGAAAUUGGGUGAAACCAAAAACUUCUUCUGCUCUCUGCUCUCUUUGUCUUUACAAGUCAUACUAACUCAUCCUAACUUUGAUCAAUGUUUGAAUCUGCAAAAAAGUAAUGCAAAUCCCUCCCUCCACAGCAACUGCAGGAGGGUGCUGGGAAAGGGGUCAAGCUGUGUGUAGCAGUGGACCAAUCAUAUCAGGCUCUGGAAGGAAAAGUCAAUGACGUCACAGCCAGGUUACUCAAAGAGCGGAUUGAAGGAGAGCAAAGAAGGUCAGCAGCGGGGAUAAUGUUUAGCAGAAUAUUUGUAGGGAAAUAAAAUGUUAAUUGAACUCCACAAUGGUGUUAAGAAGGAGAAGUUACAGGUUCUUUAAAAUCCAACAUAGUCAUAGCUGCAACUUUUUAACUACUUUUUAGAGAGCUGAAUCCAGAGAAUCUCAUUAAAUAAUAUUGCUGAAAAUGCCUUCUGGCAAUUAUUCCCUCUCUGCCGGUCUGUUUGUUGGUCUGUCUGUGGGUCUGACCGUCUCUCUCUCUCUCUCUCGGUCUCUGUCUCUGUCUCUGUCUCUGUCUCUCUCUCUCUCUCUCUCUCUCUCUCUCUCUCUCUCUCUCUCUCUCUCUCUCUCUCUCUCUCUCUCUCUCUCUCACACUCUCUCUCUCUCUCCCGCCCCCUCUCUCUCUCUCCCUCCCCUACCUUCCAUGCUGAUCCUUCUCUCGGUCCCGGUGGCUGCAGGUGGGAGGAGGCGAGGCUGGAGGUGGUGGCGGCCGUCCGGGGGACUGGCCAGACGCUGGCCCUGUGGCAGGGCUACGUGCAGCAGCGCGACAGCUGCACUCUGGCUCUGCAGCAGGCGCGGCUCCAGUGGGAGGAGCCACGGAAGGCCCCUCCCGCCCCACAUCGGGUUGCACACACCAGUGGGGGCUCCACCGAGGACUUCAUUGAGGACUUGCAACGCAGCGGAGGGGAUGUGGCGGCGGCCGCACGGCCUUUGA
rnacentral:lncRNA from 1 species